UUUUUUCCCCAUGCCACAUGUUAAGUUUUAAUUGGGCUUGUUUUAAAUUUUGAAUUUUUUCUAUCAACCAAGUGGGGUGUUGAUUUUCCUCAUGAAACAUCUUUUGUUUUAAUUUUUUUCUCUCUCUCUCUCUUCAUUUCAUUUAUAUCUUUAUUUAAAAUCAAAUUAAGUUUAGUUUUGGGAUUUGGCCAUUUUGAAUCUAAGCUAUUCUUUUUCUUUUGUUUACACCUCAUAUUCAUAUUUG
rnacentral:lncRNA from 1 species